UACGUAGGGGGCAAGCGUUGUCCGGAAUCAUUGGGCGUAAAGAGCGCGUAGGCGGUCCGGUAAGUCAGCUGUGAAAGUCAAGGGCUCAACCCUUGAAAGCCGGUUGAUACUGUCGGGCUAGAGUCCGGAAGAGGCGAGUGGAAUUCCCGGUGUAGCGGUGAAAUGCGCAGAUAUCGGGAGGAACACCAAUGGCGAAGGCAGCUCGCUGGGACGUUACUGACGCUGAGACGCGAAAGCGUGGGGAGCAAACAGG
rnacentral:rRNA from 1 species